rnacentral:rRNA from 1 species
UACGUAGGGUGCAAGCGUUAUCCGGAAUUAUUGGGCGUAAAGAGCUCGUAGGCGGUUUGUCGCGUCUGCUGUGAAAACUGGAGGCUCAACCUCCAGCCUGCAGUGGAUACGGGCUGGCUGGAGGCAGGCAGGGGAGAACGGAAUUCCUGGUGUAGCGGUGAAAUGCGCAGAUAUCAGGAGGAACACCGGUGGCGAAGGCGGUUCUCUGGGCCUGUACUGACGCUGAGGAGCGAAAGCGUGGGGAGCGAACAGG